rnacentral:ribozyme from 1 species
UCUCUCUCUCUCUGUGUGUGUGUGUGUGUGUGUGUGUCUGUCUCUCCGUUUGCAGGAAGGACGGGGCACGUGUAACCACUAGGAUCAAAAAGGUUUCAGGCGACACCGAUAUUUUCUUGUCGGAACUCCGUGCGGCAC